AGUAACGCAUACGUUCGGGAGGGGACGUCACUCCAAGGGCGUCACGCCUCGGGUGGGCAGACAAGGGGAGGAGGAGGAGGGGAGCCGAGACGUGGCCUGCCAUUGGCUGGCGACUCCGUCUCCGUAUAAAAGGCAGCGGCACCCGCCAACCUUCCUCAGACCCCGCACUUCUGUCUCCGACUCUUUGUGACCUCCGCUCCCCACCGUAGCGCCACCUAGCGGUCGCCGUCUCCCGUAAGCCGGACGCUUUGACAGUGAACUCACCGCGGCCCGUCCUGCUUUGCGCUCCCUUCCACGUCUUCACCACCGCAGUUAAAAGACCAAAUCAAAAUGGCCAGUUCAGCUUUACAUCUGAUCUCUCUUGUGCUUCUGUGCCUUGCUACCCUGUCAGUGGUCGCUGGGGAUCAGUCGGAAGCUAGCCAAGCUGAGCUGGACUCAGACAAUGCACAACUCUCGGCUUCCCUGUCCCACAUUCUCCGCCGAAGAUCUGCCCUGCUCCAGGCACCUCCUCAAUACUAUACUCCCCGACUGGCCAACUACUUGCAGGAAGCACCUAGCAAACGCGAUGACGGCUACUGGAUCUGGAUGCCUGCCCAUGGCUACAUCAGUAUGCCCCGCGACGAAUCAUCCAUCCAGAGUGGCAAUAGAAACAGCAUGGACAACCUGCUGCGAUAUGGCCGCAAGUGAAGAUAACUCCUUAACCUUUGUAGCUUUAUCAAAGAGCAUAAGCGGUCUGCUGAAACUGUGACAUUAGUUUUAAACUUCAUAAAAUACUGAAAUUGUUUUUUUUUAACUUCUGGAGAGAAAAAUAUGAAAAGCGUAACCUCCUCCUGAUCAAAAAUGGAAUCUUCUAGACAAAAGACAUUCAGCAUGAGACAUGACCUGUGCGGAAAAUGUUUUUAACAUCAUGGAUAAGCUUCACAAAGGCAAUAAACAAUACUCAGCAAUCAAAAA